GCUGGCUAAUCCACUGCUGCUUCCCCUUGGCUCAGAGCUGAGAGGAGGUACUGGUGCUGUAACCUGACUGGAUUGGUGGAAUUCUCUUAAAAUAUAAAUUAAUACACAGUUGGCUAUGAAAUGUGCUACCCAGCCCUCUGACACCACUGAGAUCAAGUUCCAGCUGCAUCAAAGCUUGACACCGUUCCCUUUCUAAAACACUUUCAUGUCAGCCAAACAGAAAUGAUAUUUGCCUGUGAAUCUUCCAGCACUGUACAUGAAAUAGGCUCCCCAACAAGGCAGUGCUGUGGAUCCAUGACUGUUCCUGUUUGUGAUGAGUAAGGGAUCCAGACUCAGCACUGUCUCUGGAGAAGCCAACCUAGCUAGCAGACUGCAGCAGCUGCCUUUAAAUUCCCAUGGAGGUACAAGU